rnacentral:misc_RNA from 1 species
AACACAUCCUCAAGCAUGCUUUGCAUUGCUUGGUCUUGGGGGAAGAUGUCCGCAUCUCCCCUGAAAUCCCUCAGCGGAAAAGCCAUCUCAGUCCACAGGUGUGAUAAUUACUGUUCGCCUGGUGACGUGGAAGGUGUUCCUGCUGUCAAUGGCCCCCCAGCUUUCUCAUGA